rnacentral:rRNA from 1 species
AUGAGGGAGCUUCAGGACGAGAACUGGAUUAGAUCGGUCGCCCGUUUGGAGACACCCGCACAGCUGCAGGAGUUCAUUACGCUUGCAUCUCUGACCUCGCAGACUAAGCUGUCCCCAGACCUGGAGGACUCCAUCUCUUGGCGUUGGACCCCUAAUGGCAGCUACUCCUCUGCUUCAGCUUAUGCGGCCCAGUUCUACGGAUCCUUCCCCAGGUUUUCGCCGUCCAAGAUUUGGGAGGCUCAUGUAGAGCCAGAAUGUAAGCUCUUCUCCUGGCUGGUGCUCCACGGGAAGACCCUCACGGCGGACAUGCUGGCCAUUCGUGGCUGGCCGCACGACCCUAUCUGCCCUCUCUGCGUGCGGGCACCAGAAACAGCAAAUCACCUGCGCAAGGACUGUCCGUUUGCGGUAGCGGUUUGGUCGCAUGUACAGGGGCGGACUGGGGAGGCGCCACUGAACUCGAUGUCGCUACCGCCUUGCAUGGGGAUCUCAGACUGGUGGGAUUCGCUCAUCGCUCCAAUUUCCAAGGAGGAUAGUUGCCGCCGCAGUGGUCGCUUCCUCUACACUAUCUGGAAUAUCUGGAAGGAGCGCAACCAUCGCAUUUUCAACGGAACCCGCCUAACCCAUGUGGAGGUGGCGACCCCCGCGUUCGACAACAUAAGACAGAGGGCCAUGGCUUUCGGCAUGGUCCAUGUGGCGACCGGUAUUGGCUGA